UACACCUGUUGCUUUGGCGGGCCCACCGGGGCCACCUGGUCGCCGGGGGGACAUCUGUCCCCGGGCCCGCGCCCGCCGAAGCGCUCUGUGAACCCUGAUGAAGAUGGGCUGUCUGAGUACUAUGAAAAUUGUCAAAACUUUCAACAAUGGAUCUCUUGGUUCCGGCAUCGAUGAAGAACGCAGCGAAAUGCGAUAAGUAAUGUGAAUUGCAGAAUUCCGUGAAUCAUCGAAUCUUUGAACGCACAUUGCGCCCCCUGGCAUUCCGGGGGGCAUGCCUGUCCGAGCGUCAUUUCUGCCCUCAAGCACGGCUUGUGUGUUGGGUGCGGUCCCCCCGGGGACCUGCCCGAAAGGCAGCGGCGACGUCCGUCUGGUCCUCGAGCGUAUGGGGCUUUGUCACUCGCUCGGGAAGGACUGGCGGGGGUUGGUCACCACCAAAAUUUUACCACGGUUGACCUCGGAUCAGGUAGGAGUUACCCGCUGAACUUAAGCAUAUCAAUAAGCGGAGGAAAAGAAACCAACAGGGAUUGCCCUAGUAACG
rnacentral:rRNA from 1 species